rnacentral:rRNA from 1 species
UAUCUCUGUAGAGUCUGCAUAUCAAUAAGCGGAGGAAAAGAAACUAACUAGGAUUCCCUCAGUAACGGCGAGUGAAGCGGGAAGAGCUCAAAUUUGAAAUCUUCAAGGUUCUACCUUGACGAAUUGUAGUUUAAAGAAGUGUUUUCUGUUGGUAGUUUUGGUAAAAGUUCUUUGGAAUAGGACAUCAUAGAGGGUGAGAAUCCCGUAUUUGACCAUUAUUUCCAGCUUUGUGAUACACUUUCAAAGAGUCGGAUUGUUUGGGAAUGCAGUCCAAAAUGGGUGGUAAAUUUCAUCUAAAGCUAAAUAUUGGCGAGAGACCGAUAGCGAACAAGUACCGUGAGGGAAAGAUGAAAAGAACUUUGAAAAGAGAGUUAAACAGUACGUGAAAUUGUCAAAAGGGAAGCGUUUGACACCAGUGUUGAUUUUUCUGAAAAUCAAUUAAAGAACUGUUUAUGCUAAGUUGUUUAGACUUUAUCAGCUAACUGUUUAGUUUUGAGCUUUUCUUUAAUGCACUUUUCAGUUAACAAGUCAACAUCAAUUUCUUUUGCUGUAAAAAAGCUUGAGGAAGGUGGCUUGAGAUUCGUCUUAAGUGUUUAUAGCCUCUUGCCUAUGCAGUCGGAGAGAUUGAGGUCUGCAGCGUAGAUCCUUCGGGGUUAGAUACAUUUGUGCUAAGUUAUAGCCUUUCAUAGACAACUUGUUGACUAUGAUCAGUCAUGUAGCUUACUCGCUUAUGCUAUUUUACCUACGCUUAGGAUGUUGACGAUCAGCUGAGCGCG